GUCUGAAUACCCAGCCACCUCUCAGA
rnacentral:piRNA from 1 species